CUAAGUUUUGAACGUGAAGCUAAGAACAGGGCUUUUUAAACUACACCUCCUCCAAGCACUACCAGGAAGAGCACUACCUGGAUACCCAUUUUACAGAGAAAGAUGCCGAGGCGUGGAGAUUAAGGGCCGUUUGUAAAAUAAAUAAAGCGGGGGCCCAUGACCCCGUGCUGACUCUGUGCUGGGCGUGGGAGCUGCGAGAUGUCCUGGAUCCCGCCCUCAGAGAGCUGCCAGUCUAGGGCGAAUACAGACAGACACACACGGAAGGGUUUAAUAGAGUCUGUGCAGCAAACUCUGAGCGCUCAGCCAGGGGCCUGCUGGGGGCGGUACCAGGAAGGGCUUCUGGGAGGUCAGAUGGGCAGAGGAAGCUUCUCCCCUUUAAGCCCAUACACAGCCCACGCAGGAUGCUCAGAGAAUAGGUGUGGCCCACUUAAACCCAAGACUAGCGGUCAGACCUGAAGUAGCCCAGAGCUACAGACUCCAUCAGAGGGAUACGGGAUGCAAAAUGCCCAGCGUGCCCUGCCCAGGGCAGUCGCUUUUAUUCUGAACCUCGGGGAGAGAGAGGUGAGGCCUACACAACUCAUUGCAGGUCAAUAGAGACAUCUCGGAGGGCUCCCCAGAGAGGAAAGGCGUCCCCAGAAAGGUGGACGUGGGGAGGCAGGUGCCCAUGAACAGCUCUCACAAGCCUAGCAACUGACUUUUCCAGAACCUGUCUGUCUGCAAGGAGAUCCCGGCGAGUCUGAGCCUCCCGUCUAGGUGACCUCGGACGGAUGGCUUGACCUACCCACGAGGACAGCCCCAGCCCCACCAGGCUCCUGGAGAGGACACAAGGGAGGGUCUCAGCACAAGGCCAGCAUGCACAGCGCUCAGGACAAGGAGGGCUGCCUCGUCAUUCUCCUUGUCAUCAUCGGCCAGCACAAGAAUGGGCGUCAAGGGCCGCUCAGGCCAGGGCUGUGGGGGAACCUAGGUUGUGGCCCUGGUGCAGGCACUGUUCGCCCUGGAGUCUGAGUCAAUCCCUCCUGCCUCAGUUUCCCCAGCCCCUGGUCUGCCCUCUUACUGCAAGAGCACGGGGAGGCGGGCACACAGCAGCCGUCUGAAAGCUACAAGGAGGGUGACACUCGGUUGUCCUGUUCUGGCCACAGAAAAACCCACCUCGACUUCCUGCCAGCCGUUCCUCCCACCUCCCUGGCCCCCCAGCCCUGCCAGCUCUGUGUCAGCACUUUUUGGGUCUCCCACGGUCCCAAAAGCUCUUCCCCGUAGGCGCGUACCCAGGUCCUCACUGCCCUGCAAAAGCUACAUUUGCCACCUACAAGUCCCUGCUGGGCUCCAACUUGUGGCCUUGCUGGUGGAAGGUAAGGGACAGAGAAAGUACUGGAACCAUGGUUAGCUCUGUUUCCACCCAUACUAUGAAGCCCCAGGAAUGUCCACCCAAGGACCCCAGGUUCCUCUGCCCUGGCUCCAGUCCCAGCCCUCCCCCGCUCUGUGGCCCCAAGGGCAGCCCCUUCACCCCCACACCUCGGCAUUCCCAUCCAGGCACAGCCCUGGAGAAGGCUAAACCCAAGAUAGCGUAAUUAAAGAGUCCUGGCUCUGGGGUACCACUCCUAGGGAAAUGCCAGCUUUGGUGGAGCAGACAGGUGGGAGAGAGGGCUGGACUCCCUUGUGGCACGGUGAGAACCACACCCCACCAUCUCCUGCAGGUCUUGCAGCUUUAAGACACCGCAAAAAUGCUCACACCCAUUUUUACAGGUAGCAAAACUGAGGUCAGAGGGGUUGGCCGACUGGGCCAUGAUUACACAGCAGGCAGGGGCCAAGCCGGGUUUGGAGCCCAGGUCCGUUCCACUCCGGAGCGCGUGGCUCAGGGGAUAUUCGGUCCUUCUGACCGGCCCCUGCUCUUUUGAUUGCCUCGGAUGCCUAGGCCCCUUCUCCUCUCCCAGACCUCUGUCCAGUGCUUUAUGGGGGAGGCGUGUGUGGCCAGGAGAUGGAAGCCAGCCUGGACCUGAGUCCUUACAGCCACCUGCCCCUUGACCCCUGCUAGGCUGUCUCAGUCUUAUGGGCCCAGACUGAUCAGCAGUCUGAGUGUUUGGUGACAUCCAAAGCCCUUCAUGGCCGCGAAGCAUCCCCAUUAAACUCAACUCUCCCAUCUGCAAAAUGGUGUAUUUCUCAGUGUGUGAAAAAUAGAUACACCC